UCUCAUUGGCUCUUUUUGAAAUAUUUCAAAAGUAAAAGUCGAAUUUCCUCUUCCACAUUUACAUGGAAUUCCCUUCGAAAGGCCCUAAUAUUUAGGCGGGCCAAACGCAGCCCUAAUUCGAGAGACUUCUCUCAGGCCGCAAGGCGCGGCGUUUCUGCUUUCCUCUUCUCCAAGGAACUAGGGAAAUUCCUUUUUUCUACAAAUAACUAUCAUUUCUUUCCCUUUUAUUUAAUUUAAUUUAAUCUCACUCUCACGAACUGCUGAAUUAAAGCUGAGAUCAGCAGGUUUAUUUUCUAUUUUUUUCCGUCAACUUAUGAUUCCCUUUCAACACUAAGUAUUAAAGCUCUGAUUUUUCUGCUUUUUUUGAAUUGUUCCCUUAAUAGCUGUUCUCUAUGAAAUAUUGAAAACCCAGUUCAUGUAUUUUGUUUGUUUUGAUAAUUUCUUUUUAAUUUUCUGGUAGAGGAGGAGGAAUUUAUCGGUUGUUAAUUGUUGAUGUUGUUAUAAACUCUUUCUUUAAUAAAUUCUAUCUUUUCCUUGUUUGCAUUUGGAUGUAACCUUUACCUCAUUAUGUUGACAUUCUUUCCAUGGGUGGCCCUAUUUUAUCUUAUACUUGUAUUAUUCCAAAUUUUCAUUUAUUUGCUUCCUUUCUCAUAACUACAUUUUAAGAAAGGGGUGAGGGGAAUAAUCAAAAUCUUCCUUUCAAUUUUAGUAGGCAACAAUUCAUUUCAGGUUGAUCCAGUAGUUAAAUAAAAUGGUGGACGAAUUGAAGAAGGGAGAAAAUUCAUGGAUGGACACGACUGAGCAAUCGAAUAGAGUAGUAGAUGUUGAUAAAAAUGUUUCCUUGAUGUCCGGAUCAGUAAUUAUCACUGACGGGGCAGAACCCUUACAUCCUCAGCAGCCUCCACCUCAGGUUCCCACCAGCCCCUCCUCGGAUGUCCAAUUGGGCUUAUCUGAACGAGCCGUCUCAGCAGCCGGUGCAGCCUUUCUCUCUGCAGUCCUUACUAAUCCACUUGAUGUUGUCAAGACUAGAUUGCAAACACAGGCAGCUGGAGUUGCUUAUUCACAUCCAAUGAGUAACAUGACAAGCCGCAUGGCAGUUUUUGGACCAAAUAUGAUGUUUGCAGAUCUGAGGUGUUCACCUUCAUGUACCCGCGCUGGUGUUCAUGGCACAGUAUCAAUCUGCCCGCCUGAUUGUUUCCAGUACAAAGGAGCACUUGAUGUCUUCUACAAAAUUAUUCGGCAGGAGGGUAUUUCUAGGCUAUGGAGAGGCACAAAUGCUGGUCUAGCACUGGCUGUACCAACAGUCGGAAUUUACUUGCCUUGCUAUGACAUUUUUCGGAACAAGUUAGAGGAGUUCACAGCCCAACAUGCCCCAAGCUUGACACCAUAUGCUCCUUUGUUAGCUGGUUCGCUGGCACGGUCUUUAGCUUGCACAAGUUGCUAUCCUCUUGAACUUGCCAAAACACGAAUGCAGGCAUUUAAGGAUAUGAACAAGAAGCCUGCUGGAGUCUGGAAGACUUUGUUUGAGGUUAUUGCCAAUGUCAGGAGCACAACUAAUACCAACUGUGGCUUACAAAGCUAUCGUGUACUUUGGAGUGGACUUGGGGCACAGCUUGCUCGCGACGUCCCUUUUUCUGCAAUUUGUUGGACAACUCUUGAACCAGUAAGGAGGCGACUUCUUAGUCUAAUGGGAGAUGAAGCUAAUGCUGCUGGUGUCCUUGGGGCAAAUUUUUCUGCUGCUUUUGUUGCAGGAAGCAUUGCUGCUGCUGCAACAUGUCCCCUUGAUGUUGCUAAGACUAGAAGACAGAUUGAGAGAGACCCCACCAGGGCAUUGAGGAUGACAACAAGGCAAACUCUACUUGAGAUUUGGAGGGAUGGAGGGCUCAAGGGACUGUUUACUGGAGUAGGUCCUCGUGUUGGUCGUGCUGGGCCUUCAGUUGGAAUUGUGAUUUCGUUUUACGAAGUAGUCAAAUAUAUGUUACACCACAAAUAUGCUUCUUCAUAGCGCACGUAGUCAGGUUAAUUAGGGUUUCUUCUUUCCAACGUCUCGGAUCGGGCAAUGGUCACUGACUUAGCUGAGUUGGACCGUGACGGGACGCUGGAGUAGCACCUCUGUGUGCUCUAACGUGGAUAUGGUAGCACGCAAAGGAGCAGUUUUGACCAUGGAUUGUCUUUGGAGUAAGAAGAGAUUUUGAUAAACUUUGGUUGCAUCAAUGAGCAGUUUUUCCUGAUGUGUUGUCAGUUAUCAUAAAAAUAUUCAAUUUUUUUAUUGUACUUUUAGGAAAAUUAUAGUUUCCUCCUUGACUGGUCUGGCAAUCUCAAGCUAAAAUAUUGACGCGGAAAGAUUUUUAUUGA